UUCUCGCAUCGAUGAAGAAUGGAGCGAAAUGCGAUAAGAAAUAUGAAUUACAGAUAUUCGUGAAUCAUCGAAUCAUUGAACGCACAUUGCGCCCUUUGUUAUUCCAAAGGGCAUGCCUGUUUAAGCGGGAUU
rnacentral:rRNA from 1 species